GGUCAAGCUACAAAGGGCGCAUGGUGAAUGCCUUGGCAUCAGGAGCCGAUGAAGGACGUGAUAAGCUGCGAUAAGCUUCGGGUAGGCGCACAUAGCCAGAGAUCCGGAGAUUUCCGAAUGGGGAAACCCGCAUGAGAAACCUCAUGCAUCGUAAAGUGAAUACAUAGCUUUAUGAAGGAACACCUAGGGAACUGAAACAUCUAAGUACCUAGAGGAAGAGAAAGAAAAAUCGAUUUUCUUAGUAGCGGCGAGCGAAAAGGAAAGAGCCCAAACCAGAGAUUUAUCUCUGGGGUUGCGGACAGAACAUAACGUGAAAUUAUGAUUAACCGAACACAACUGGAAAGUUGGACCGUAGGAGGUAAUAGUCCUGUAAGUAAAAGUCAUAAUAAUCAGUUCUGCACCAGAGUACCACGAGACACGUGAAACCUUGUGGGAAGCAGGGAGGACCACCUCCCAAGGCUAAAUACUACCUGAUGACCGAUAGUGAAGCAGUACCGUGAGGGAAAGGUGAAAAGAACCCCGGGAGGGGAGUGAAAUAGAACCUGAAACCAUGUGCCUACAACCGAUCAAAGCACCUUAUGUGUGUGAUGAUGUGCUUUUUGUAGAACGAGCCAACGAGUUACGGUAUGUAGCGAGGUUAAGUACUUAAGGUACGGAGCCGAAGGGAAACCGAGUCUUAAUAGGGCGACUAGUUGCAUGCUGUAGACCCGAAACCGGGUGACCUAUCCAUGGCCAGGUUGAAGCGAGGGUAAAACCUCGUGGAGGACCGAACCACGUUGCUGUUGAAAAAGCAUGGGAUGAGCUGUGGAUAGCGGAGAAAUUCCAAUCGAACUCGGAUAUAGCUGGUUCUCCUCGAAAUAGCUUUAGGGCUAGCGUCGUGAAAUGUGAGUACUGGAGGUAGAGCACUGAAUAGGCUAGGGGGCAUAGCGCUUACCGAACCUUAUCAAACUCCGAAUGCCAGAUACUAUCAGCACGGCAGUCAGACUAUGAAAGAUAAGUUCCAUGGUCAAAAGGGAAACAGCCCAGAUCGUCAGCUAAGGUCCCAAAGUGUAAGUUAAGUGGAAAAGGAUGUGGGAUUUCUAAGACAACUAGGAUGUUGGCUUAGAAGCAGCCACUCAUUAAAAGAGUGCGUAAUAGCUCACUAGUCAAGAGAUCCUGCGCCGAAAAUGUCCGGGGCUCAAACUUACCACCGAAGCUACGGGUUCAUACUUUGUAUGAGCGGUAGAGGAGCGUCGUAAUCGGGCUGAAGUCGUACCGUAAGGAGCGGUGGACUGAUUACGAGUGAGAAUGUUGGCAUUAGUAGCGAGAUGUAGGUGAGAAUCCUACAGGCCGAAUAUCUAAGGUUUCCUGAGUAAAGUUUGUCUUCUCAGGGUUAGUCGGGACCUAAGGCGAGGCCGAGAGGCGUAGUCGAUGGACAAUUGGUUGAUAUUCCAAUACCACUAUAAUCGUUAUUAUCGAUGGUGUGACGGAGAAGGAUAGGAUGUGCCAGCUAUUGGAUGCUGGUCUAAGCGUUGAGGGAGUUAGAACAGGCAAAUCCGUUCUAACAAUCCUAGGGCGUGAUGGGGAAGGUUCUACGGAACCGAAGUAUCUGAUUUCAUGCUUCCAAGAAAAGCAUCUAGAAAGAGAAGUAGUGCCCGUACCGCAAACCGACACAGGUAGAUGAGGAGAGAAUCCUAAGGCCGACGGAAGAAUCACAGUUAAGGAACUAGGCAAAUUGACCCCGUAACUUCGGGAGAAGGGGUGCCUACCAAUUGGUAGGCCGCAGAGAAUAGGCACAAGCAACUGUUUAACAAAAACACAGGUCUCUGCUAAAGCGUAAGCUGAUGUAUAGGGGCUGACGCCUGCCCGGUGCUGGAAGGUUAAGGGGAACACUUAGCGCAAGCGAAGGUGUGAACUUAAGCCCCAGUAAACGGCGGCCGUAACUAUAACGGUCCUAAGGUAGCGAAAUUCCUUGUCAGGUAAGUUCUGACCCGCACGAAUGGCGUAAUGACUUGUGCACUGUCUCAACUGUGAAUCCGGCGAAGUUGUAGUGCGAGUGAAGAUGCUCGCUACCCGCGAUUGGACGGAAAGACCC
rnacentral:ncRNA from 1 species